GGAGUCUGCAACCCGACUCCACGAAGCUGGAUUCGCUAGUAAUCGCGCAUCAGCCACGGCGCGGUGAAUACGUUCCCGGGCCUUGUACACACCGCCCGUCAAGCCAUGGGAGCCGGGGGUACCUGAAGUGCGCUGCCGCAAGGAGCGCCCUAGGGUAAAACCGGUGACUGGGGCUAAGUCGUAACAAGGUACC
rnacentral:rRNA from 1 species